rnacentral:rRNA from 1 species
CCUAGUAACGGCGAGUGAAGCGGCAACAGCUUCAAAUUUGAAAUUCUGGCUUCGGCCCGAGUUGUAAUUUGCAGAGGAUGCUUCUGGCGCGGUGCCUUCCAGGUUCCCUAGAACGGGACGUCACAGAGGGUGAGAACCCCGUAUGGUCGGACCACCAAAGCCUAUGUGAAGCUCCUUCGACGAGUCGAGUAGUUUGGGAAUGCUGCUCAAAAUGGGAGGUAAAUCUCUCCUAAAGCUAAAUACCGGCCAGAGACCGAUAGCGCACAAGUAGAGUGAUCGAAAGAUGAAAAGCACCUUGAAAAGGGGGUUAAACAGUACGUGAAAUUGUUGAAAGGGAAGCGCUUGUGACCAGACUUGCGCCGGGCGGCUCAACCGGGGUUCUCCCCGGUGCACUCCGCCCCGGCACAGGCCAGCAUCGGUUUCCGCUGGGGGAUAAGAACGGCAGGAACGUGGCCCUCCUUCGGGUGGGUGUUAUAGCCUGUCGUACGAUACCCUGGCGGGGACCGAGGUUCGCGCUCCGCAAGGAUGCUGGCGUAAUGGUCAUCAGCGACCCGUCUUGAAACACGGACCAAGGAGUCGUCCAUUAGAGCGAGCGUUUGGGUGUCAAACCCGCACGCGUAAUGAAAGUGAAAUUAGGUGAGAGCUUCGGCGCAUCAUCGACCGAUCCUGAUGUUCUCGGAUGGAUUUGAGUAAGAGUUUUAACGGACGGACCCGAAAGACAGUGAACUAUGCUUGUAUAGGGUGAAGCCAGAGGAAACUCUGGUGGAGGCUCGCAGCGGUUCUGACGUGCAAAUCGAUCGUCAAAUAUGAGCAUGGGGGCGAAAGACUAAUCGAACUGUCUAGUAGCUGGUUACCGCCGAAGUUUCCCUCAGGAUAGCAGUGUUGACCUUCAGUUUUAUGAGGUAAAGCGAAUGAUUAGGGACUCGGGGGCGCUUUUUAGCCUUCAUCCAUUCUCAAACUUUAAAUAUGUAAGAAGCCCUUGUUACUUUGUUGAACGUGGGCAUCGAA